GGAUGAGCCCGCGGCCUAUCAGCUUGUUGGUGGGGUAAUGGCCUACCAAGGCGUCGACGGGUAGCCGGCCUGAGAGGGCGACCGGCCACACUGGGACUGAGACACGGCCCAGACUCCUACGGGAGGCAGCAGUGGGGAAUAUUGCACAAUGGGCGAAAGCCUGAUGCAGCGACGCCACGUGAGGGAUGACGGCCUUCGGGUUGUAAACCUCUUUCAGCAGGGAAGAAGCGCAAGUGACGGUACCUGCAGAAGAAGCGCCGGCUAACUACGUGACAGCAGCCGCGGCCG
rnacentral:rRNA from 1 species